rnacentral:rRNA from 1 species
CCUGAAACUUGUCCACUCCUUACGGGGGAGACAGUCAUGAGACGUGAGUAUAAGACCUGAGUGUAAAGACCUUAGGGUGAAGCAAUUGGAGGGCAAGCUUUGGUGCCAGCAGCCGCGGUAACUCCAACUCCAAGAGUGUCUAUGGUGGAUGCUGCAGUUAAAGGGUCCGUAGUCGUGAAUGCAAUUAAAUGUCGUUGUUCAAUAGCGAUGAGUUUGCUAAUGUUUGCGGAACGGAUAGGGAGUGUAGUAUAGACUGGCGAAGAAUGAAAUCUCAAGACCCAGUUUGGACUAACGGAGGCGAAGGCGACACUCUUAGACGUAUCUUAGGAUCAAGGACGAAGGCAGGAGUAUCGAAAGUGAUUAGACACCGCUGUAGUUCCUGCAGUAAACUAUGCCGACAGCCUGUGUGUGAGAAUACGUGGGCGGGAGAAAUCUUAGUGUUCGGGCUCUGGGGAUAGUACGCUCGCAAGGGUGAAACUUAAAGCGAAAUUGACGGAAGGACACUACCAGGAGUGGAUUGUGCUGCUUAAUUUAACUCAACGCGGGAAAACUUACCAGGGUCAAGUCAUUCGUUGAUCGAAUACGUGAGAAUGGCAGGAGUGGUGCAUGGA